GGUUAAGCGACUAAGCGUACACGGUGGAUGCCCUGGCAGUCAGAGGCGAUGAAGGGCGUGCUAAUCUGCGAUAAGCGCCGGUAAGGUGAUAUGAACCGUUAUAACCGGCGAUACCCGAAUGGGGAAACCCAGUGUGAUUCGUCACACUAUCAUUAACUGAAUCCAUAGGUUAAUGAGGCGAACCGGGGGAACUGAAACAUCUAAGUACCCCGAGGAAAAGAAAUCAACCGAGAUUCCCCCAGUAGCGGCGAGCGAACGGGGAGGAGCCCAGAGCCUGAAUCAGCAUGUGUGUUAGUGGAAGCGUCUGGAAAGGCGCGCGAUACAGGGUGACAGCCCCGUACACAAAAGCGCAUGUGCUGUGAGCUCGAUGAGUAGGGCGGGACACGUGGUAUCCUGUCUGAAUAUGGGGGGACCAUCCUCCAAGGCUAAAUACUCCUGACUGACCGAUAGUGAACCAGUACCGUGAGGGAAAGGCGAAAAGAACCCCGGCGAGGGGAGUGAAAAAGAACCUGAAACCGUGUACGUACAAGCAGUGGGAGCACAGGUUUACCUGUGUGACUGCGUACCUUUUGUAUAAUGGGUCAGCGACUUAUAUUCUGUAGCAAGGUUAACCGAAUAGGGGAGCCGGAGGGAAACCGAGUCUUAAUUGGGCGUUAAGUUGCAGGGUAUAGACCCGAAACCCGGUGAUCUAGCCAUGGGCAGGUUGAAGGUUGGGUAACACUAACUGGAGGACCGAACCGACUAAUGUUGAAAAAUUAGCGGAUGACCUGUGGCUGGGGGUGAAAGGCCAAUCAAACCGGGAGAUAGCUGGUUCUCCCCGAAAGCUAUUUAGGUAGCGCCUCGUGAAUUCAUCUCCGGGGGUAGAGCACUGUUUCGGCUAGGGGGCCAUCCCGGCUUACCAACCCGAUGCAAACUGCGAAUACCGGAGAAUGUUAUCACGGGAGACACACGGCGGGUGCUAACGUCCGUCGUGAAGAGGGAAACAACCCAGACCGCCAGCUAAGGUCCCAAAGUCAUGGUUAAGUGGGAAACGAUGUGGGAAGGCCCAGACAGCCAGGAUGUUGGCUUAGAAGCAGCCAUCAUUUAAAGAAAGCGUAAUAGCUCACUGGUCGAGUCGGCCUGCGCGGAAGAUGUAACGGGGCUAAACCAUGCACCGAAGCUGCGGCAGCGAACGUAUCACUUAAAGCGAUUCAGCGGGUUACGAUUGACGGAGCGAAGCGACGUCAAAGCGUAUACAAAGUCGAGUCGGUUUAAGGAUACGUUCGUUGGGUAGGGGAGCGUUCUGUAAGCCUGUGAAGGUGGCCUGUGAGGGUUGCUGGAGGUAUCAGAAGUGCGAAUGCUGACAUAAGUAACGAUAAAGCGGGUGAAAAGCCCGCUCGCCGGAAGACCAAGGGUUCCUGUCCAACGUUAAUCGGGGCAGGGUGAGUCGACCCCUAAGGCGAGGCCGAAAGGCGUAGUCGAUGGGAAACGGGUUAAUAUUCCCGUACUUGGUGUUACUGCGAAGGGGGGACGGAGAAGGCUAUGUUGGCCGGGCGACGGUUGUCCCGGUUUAAGCGUGUAGGCUGGUUUUCCAGGCAAAUCCGGAAAAUCAAGGCUGAGGCGUGACGACGAGGCACUACGGUGCUGAAGCAACAAAUGCCCUGCUUCCAGGAAAAGCCUCUAAGCAUCAGGUAACAUCAAAUCGUACCCCAAACCGACACAGGUGGUCAGGUAGAGAAUACCAAGGCGCUUGAGAGAACUCGGGUGAAGGAACUAGGCAAAAUGGUGCCGUAACUUCGGGAGAAGGCACGCUGACACGUAGGUGAAGUGAUUUACUCAUGGAGCUGAAGUCAGUCGAAGAUACCAGCUGGCUGCAACUGUUUAUUAAAAACACAGCACUGUGCAAACACGAAAGUGGACGUAUACGGUGUGACGCCUGCCCGGUGCCGGAAGGUUAAUUGAUGGGGUCAGCGCAAGCGAAGCUCCUGAUCGAAGCCCCGGUAAACGGCGGCCGUAACUAUAACGGUCCUAAGGUAGCGAAAUUCCUUGUCGGGUAAGUUCCGACCUGCACGAAUGGCGUAAUGAUGGCCAGGCUGUCUCCACCCGAGACUCAGUGAAAUUGAACUCGCUGUGAAGAUGCAGUGUACCCGCGGCAAGACGGAAAGACCCCGUGAACCUUUACUAUAGCUUGACACUGAACAUUGAGCCUUGAUGUGUAGGAUAGGUGGGAGGCUUUGAAGUGUGGACGCCAGUCUGCAUGGAGCCGACCUUGAAAUACCACCCUUUAAUGUUUGAUGUUCUAACGUGGACCCGUAAUCCGGGUUGCGGACAGUGUCUGGUGGGUAGUUUGACUGGGGCGGUCUCCUCCUAAAGAGUAACGGAGGAGCACGAAGGUUGGCUAAUCCUGGUCGGACAUCAGGAGGUUAGUGCAAUGGCAUAAGCCAGCUUGACUGCGAGCGUGACGGCGCGAGCAGGUGCGAAAGCAGGUCAUAGUGAUCCGGUGGUUCUGAAUGGAAGGGCCAUCGCUCAACGGAUAAAAGGUACUCCGGGGAUAACAGGCUGAUACCGCCCAAGAGUUCAUAUCGACGGCGGUGUUUGGCACCUCGAUGUCGGCUCAUCACAUCCUGGGGCUGAAGUAGGUCCCAAGGGUAUGGCUGUUCGCCAUUUAAAGUGGUACGCGAGCUGGGUUUAGAACGUCGUGAGACAGUUCGGUCCCUAUCUGCCGUGGGCGCUGGAGAACUGAGGGGGGCUGCUCCUAGUACGAGAGGACCGGAGUGGACGCAUCACUGGUGUUCGGGUUGUCAUGCCAAUGGCACUGCCCGGUAGCUAAAUGCGGAAGAGAUAAGUGCUGAAAGCAUCUAAGCACGAAACUUGCCCCGAGAUGAGUUCUCCCUGAGACUUAGAGUCUCCUGAAGGAACGUUGAAGACGACGACGUUGAUAGGCCGGGUGUGUAAGCGCAGCGAUGCGUUGAGCUAACCGGUACUAAUGAACCGUGAGGCUUAACCUU
rnacentral:rRNA from 2 species